GAUGAACGCUGGCGGCGUGCCUAAUACAUGCAAGUCGAACGCGCAGCGAAAGGUGCUUGCACCUUUCAAGCGAGUGGCGAACGGGUGAGUAACACGUGGAUAACCUGCCUCAAGGCUGGGGAUAACAUUUGGAAACAAAUGCUAAUACCGAAUAAAACUUAGUAUCGCAUGAUACAAAGUUAAAAGGCGCUACGGCGUCACAUAGAGAUGGAUCCGCGGUGCAUUAGUGAGUUGGUGGGGUAGAGGCUUACCAAGACGAUGAUGCAUAGCCGAGUUGAGAGACUGAUCGGCCACACUGGGACUGAGACACGGCCCAAACUCCUACGGGAGGCUGCAGUAGGGAAUCUUCCACAAUGGGCGCAAGCCUGAUGGAGCAACGCCGCGUGUGUGAUGAAGGCUUUCGGGUCGUAAAGCACUGUUGUAUGGGAAGAAAUGCUAAAAUAGGGAAUGAUUUUAGUUUGACGGUACCAUACCAGAAAGGGACGGCUAAAUACGUGCCAGCCGCCGCCGUAA
rnacentral:rRNA from 1 species